CGGGCUGAGCUGAGGGCCGGGCCGGGCCGGGCUGAGGGGCGUUGAUACCCAACAGCGGGAAUUGAGCUCUGGAGGCUUUUCUGUCAGAAUUAGUUUCCAGUUCAUGCGUCGGGCCACUCACUUCACUUUUUCCAAACGCCUACAAGUCUUGGGGCUUUUUUGAAGGGGAAGAAGAAAUGUUUUCCUCUGUGGACCAGCCAGGAAAUAGCUGUUGUUGGCAAGGACAAGGAUAAAGGGUCAUGCUAAGGAAGAUGACAAAAGACAGAUAACAACAAGUCUGUCAGAAACUGAUGAGAAUUUCAUCAAGACUGAAGAAGUCAGUCAAGAUAAACAUUCCCUUGAAAUAUCCCGAUGAACCUGGACUUUCAGAAAGUAGUAAAUGUUCAGUGUAUGAACACAGCAUUUCUUUCAGACCAGUGACAGGUUGUGUUAUCCACUGCUGAAAUGGAUUUAAUGCUUGUGUUUAAGCCAUGUUAGCAGCAAGAAAAGCAAGUUGGUAGGAGAGCAGCAGAGAGUUGACCUAUAUGUACCUGGAUCAUCUUCUUUUGGAGAUCAGCUUUCCUAGGAAAGAUGUGAUGGGCAAAGGAUACAUGCACGGAUGGAUGGGGAAGGGCUUGCCCUUUUGAAAAGCAGCAUGUGUUACCUGUGUGUGCCUG
rnacentral:lncRNA from 1 species